UACAGGGUGCUAACAAUGAGGUGAGAAAUGUACACGGAGAGGGUAAAUCAAAUGGCCACGAAACGCGGGGAAGCAGAACACUAAUCACGCUUCUUUCUCUUGAUCUUGGAAAGGGAUGCAUUUAAACGUAUUAAAUGAACAAGGAGACAGAAAAUAAGGAGGAUUCAAAACGUGGCGAAGUGGAGCCCCUUUAAUUUUCCUUCCCGUUGGGCGUGAAGGUGCAAUUUCCAGAAAAUAUAAGCAAUCCGAAUUACACUGAUGCAUAAAAAUGAAGGUUGCGGUGUGAUGUGUGGCUUAUUUUACUAAUUCCUUUUCAUCAGCAUCUACUAUUAAGCGGCACUUCUCUUUUGUCAUCACUUAGGAAUAAAACUCGAGCAGCUUUUAGGGAUCCUCAAGAUCGUCUGACAAAUGGGAGAGAAUUAAAGUUCAGGUUGAUGACUACAAUGUUUGGUGGACUACAUUCUUGAUUUGCUGUUUUCGUCUUCACCUUGCAACAUUAUACAGUCAAUUUUCAAGUGAUGAGUGAGAGCAACUGAAGAUUUAUGUGAAUUCCACUGAAAUAAGAAAUUUUCUGCAUUGGAAUUCCUCUUGGAUUUGAUUUGCUUUGCUUUUCACACCUGCAAACUUUGGAACAUUAUGGUCUACAGUUAAUUAAGAUCGACGUUGGAGAAGACAAAGAUGACCCCUUGGUUAAAACAGUUCUCUAUCUUGCAUGCUAUAUGUAAUAGAAUUCAAGUUCAUUUUAUUCAAAUUAGUUUUUUUAUUAUGCAUGUUUUUUUGUAGUUUAUUUAAAUUAGUUUUUA
rnacentral:lncRNA from 1 species